GUGGAUUAGAUACCCUGGUAGUCCACGCCGUAAACGAUGGGCACUGGGUAGCGGCCGGAUCCGACCGGUCGCUGCUGACGGAAAUCCAUUAAGUGCCCCGCCUGGGGAGUAUGGUCGCAAGGCUGAAACUCAAAGGAAUUGACGGGGGCUCACACAAGCGGUGGAGGAUGUUGCUCAAUUCGAAGCAACGCGAAGAACCUUACCAGGGUUUGACAUGCUGGGAUCAACUCGGUGAAAGCCGAGGGAUUGCCUUCGGGUGUAACCAGCACAGGUGUUGCACGGCCGUCGUCAGCU
rnacentral:rRNA from 1 species